ACGCUCGACACCUACGGGAGGCAGCAGUGGGGAAUAUUGCACAAUGGGGGAAACCCUGAUGCAGCGACGCCGCGUGAGCGAAGAAGUAUUUCGGUAUGUAAAGCUCUAUCAGCAGGGAAGAAACUGACGGUACCUGACUAAGAAGCACCGGCUAAAUACGAGCCAGCAGCAGCGGUAAUCUGAGCGGCUGGCAAGGC
rnacentral:rRNA from 1 species